rnacentral:rRNA from 1 species
AACGUAGGACGCAAGCGUUAUCCGGAGUUACUGGGCGUAAAGGGCGGGCAGGCGGCUUCGCACGUCGGAUGUGAAAGCGCCCAGCUAAACUGGGCGAGGCCAUUCGAUACGGCGGAGCUGGAAGGCAGCAGAGGUAGGCGGAAUUCCGGGUGUAGCGGUGGAAUGCGUAGAGAUCCGGAAGAACACCGGUGGCGAAGGCGGCCUGCUGGGCAGUUUUGCUGACACUGAGGCGCGACAGCGUGGGGAGCAAACAGG